CCCCUCUCGUUGACUAGCUCAGUGCUGCCCCCUCUCGUUGAUUAACUCUAGUUGAAGGCUUACCGGUGUACUGCAGGCUAGCUCAGUGCUGCCCCCUCUCGUUGAUUAACUCUAGUUGAAGGCUGACUGGGGUACUGCAGGCUAGCUCAGUGCUGCCCCCUCUCGUUGACUAGCUCAGUGCUGCCCCCUCUCGUUGACUAGCUCAGUGCUGCCCCCUCUCGUUGACUAGCUCAGUGCUGCCCCCUCUCGUUGACUAGCUCAGUGCUGCCCCCUCUCGUUGACUAGCUCAGUGCUGCCCCCUCUCGUUGAUUAACUCUAGUUGAAGGCUGACCGGGGUACUGCAGGCUAGCUCAGUGCUGCCCCCUCUCAUUGACUAGCUCAGUGCUGCCCCCUCUCGUUGACUAGCUCAGUGCUGCCCCCUCUCAUUGAUUAACUCUAGUUGAAGGCUGACCGGGGUACUGCAGGCUAGCUCAGUGCUGCCCCCUCUCGUUGACUAGCUCAGUGCUGCCCCCUCUCGUUGACUAGCUCAGUGCUGCCCCCUCUCGUUGACUAGCUCAGUGCUGCCCCCUCUCGUUGACUAGCUCAGUGCUGCCCCUCUCGUUGACUAGCUCAGUGCUGCCCCCUCUCGUUGAUUAACUCUAGUUGAAGGCUGAUUGGGGUAUUGCAGACUAGCUCAGUGCUGCC
ensembl:lncRNA